rnacentral:rRNA from 1 species
UACGUAGGGGGCAAGCGUUGUCCGGAAUCAUUGGGCGUAAAGCGCGUGUAGGCGGCUUGGUAAGUCUGCUCUGAAAGCCCGGGGCUCAACCCCGGGAGGCGGGUGGAUACUGCCGAGCUCGAGUCCGGAAGAGGCGAGUGGAAUUCCUGGUGUAGCGGUGAAAUGCGCAGAUAUCAGGAGGAACACCGAUGGCGAAGGCAGCUCGCUGGGACGGUACUGGACGCUGAGACGCGAAAGCGUGGGGAGCAAACAGG